rnacentral:rRNA from 1 species
GACGAACGCUGGCGGCGUGCUUAACACAUGCCAGUCGAACGGAAAGGCCCUGCUUUUGUGGGGUGCUCGAGUGGCGAACGGGUGAGUAACACGUGAGUAACCUGCCCUUGACUUUGGGAUAACUUCAGGAAACUGGGGCUAAUACCGGAUAGGAGCUCCUGCUGCAUGGUGGGGGUUGGAAAGUUUCGGCGGUUGGGGAUGGACUCGCGGCUUAUCAGCUUGUUGGUGGGGUAGUGGCUUACCAAGGCUUUGACGGGUAGCCGGCCGGAGAGGGUGACCGGCCACAUUGGGACUGAGAUACGGCCCAGACUCCUACGGGAGGCAGCAGGCGGGAAUAUUGCACAAUGGGCGGAAGCCUGAUGGAGCAACGCCGCGUGCGGGAUGACGGCCUUCGGGUUGUAAACCGCUUUCGCCUGCGACGAAGCGUGAGUGACGGUAAUGGGUAAAGAAGCACCGGCUAACUACGU